CCUUACUUAAUAUCUAUUUGUAUACCACCGUAAUUGAAACUACUCAAAAUAAGCUUCAUACAAAACCAAAAUUUUUAAAAUCAGGCCAAGGUGCAAUUUUAUUAAGUCGAAAUGAAUUACAUUAAUUCUUAUUUACUUAUAAUAACUGAAACUUUAUUAAAAAUAGAAUUUGUUAGUAAAAUUUUAUUAGAAUGAUUUUUUGAAAAUUACCAUUAAUAUGUACAUAUCGCCCG
rnacentral:rRNA from 1 species